AUAUUUCAAAGAUCCAAUAGGGUCUAUUUCUGAAAACUCAGCCCCCAUAUCAUAAAACCAGCUUAAAGAAGGGAAGUGACUUAGAGAAGGGGAAGAACUUUGAGAGUUUGAAAUAAUAAGCUGUAUUGAGUUACACUAGUUUACCUGAAAGUUAGGGGGAGCUAUAUCUUUAGUAAAAUGAAUGUAUGGUUUUAGGAAUUACAACUACUGGUUGGGGCAGUCCAUCCUUGCUCUCACUUGCACAUAGUUGGACCAACUACGUCAUAAAAGCUUUGUGUAAAGGGGGCAAGACUCCCAGUUGACACUGGGGUCUUCAUUGAAACUUUCCCAGACUAAAUGAUCCAAAUUCACUAAUGUCCAGUCUGAGGACAGCCGGGAAGUACAGAGGUACUUUUCUGAAGUGGAGAGCUGUCUUUGGCCUGACAAGGCUCCACAAGGUAUAACAAGGCAAGCAUCAAAUGUAAUAGUUUCAGGCAAAAUGGGUUCCAUUGUCUAAGUCAAUGUUUUCUAUUAGCCUAAACCUGGGCACUAUAUUUUCAAUUAAGGCCUUAACUACAUUAUUGGCCAUCACAUUUGAAAAGGGAAUAGCUUUGACCCAGUGAGUAAGGUGAUCUACUGUCACUAGUAAAUAUUUUAGACGACCUAUUGAAGGCAUCUCUGUGUAAUCAAUCUGGAUACUUUAAGUCUGGACUCCUUCUACCAAGGGGUAAUCUUUUUAUAGUUUGUUUAUUAGUUUUCUUACACACUAUGCCACUGUCUGUAACCUGUUUGGCCAGAGUAUAAAUCCCUAUACACCCAAAAACUUUCAGAACUCUGUCACACAUGGCUUGGGACCCCAGUGGGUCCCUUGAUGAAGUUGGGACAAGUUUUCCCUCAUAAGGGGUUUGGACAACAUUUCCCUCUGCUCUGGCAGUAUCCACUUUUCUUUUGAAUUCUCCUUAGCACCUAUUUUUAUUAGUUUCUCUUUUCCGUGGAGGAGAAAAUGGAGAUUAUGUCAGGAGGAGGAAGGUAAAGAGUUCAGUGAAAAAUAGAUGUUUUAAAAGAAAUGGCAGCCUGUUUGCCUAUGUAAUCUGCUAGGUUAUUUCCUAGACUGUCAAAAGAAAGACUUUUCUGGUGUCUGGGGACAUGGACAGUCACUAUUUCUUCUGGCAACUGAAGGUUAUUCAAUACUUGGGUGAAUAGCUCCUUAUGAACAAGAUCUUGACGUUUACUAUUAAUGAGACCUCGUUCAGUCCAAAUUUUUCCGAAUCUAUGAGCCACUCCAAAGGCGUACUUAGAAUUGGUAUAGAUGGCUCCUUCCUAGUUCUGCAAGUACUUUAAGGCUCGGCUGAGUGCAAACAGCUCACAAGUUUGGGCAGUCCAAUUAUUAGACAAUUUUCCUGCCUCAAUUUCUUCAAGAGUUUCUCCAUCAAUUACUGAAUUCCCUGUUGCAUCUUUUUGCCUCAAUCACCUGGGAGGAGCCAUCUAUAAUUAAGUGUCAUCCCAUCCUGAAGGGAGUUUAUCCUAGGUCUUGUCAGACCUUUGUAUGGUAAUCAGUUAAAUCUAAACAUGUGUGCUAUCUCUUUAGAUUUGGAUCCCCUAUUAGAAAAACUGCUGCGUUAAGAGAAUUAUCAGUGGUUAAUGUUAAAUCAUCUUUUUCUAACAGAAUAGUCUCAUACUUUAAGAUUCUUGAGUCAGUAAGCCACCUCCCUGCUUUCUGAUUUAAGAUAUUUCUAACUUGAUGGGGCUUUCUCACUGUCAAUUUUCCUCCAAAGGUUAACUUCCUGAUUUCUUUGACCAUUAGUGCUGUAGUCACAAUGGAUUGGAUACAUUGAGGCCACCCACUAGUAACUGAAUCUAAGGCUUUUGACAGGAAGGCCACGAUGGGCUGCUGAUGGCCUCCGUGUUCUUAAGUGAGCACUGCUAAUGCUACCCCAUUAUCCACGUUGACAAAAAGGUGGAAUGGCUUUUCUAGGGAAGGUAAGGCUAAGACAGGGGCUGUUAUAAGCCUUUUUAUCUGCUCUUCAACCUGAUCGACUUCUUCAGAGGUCCACAGCAGGUCGUCAGUCUUCCCCUCGGCAAAUUUUGGAUAUAGAAGUUUACUGUUUAGUGCAUGUGAGUUAAUCCAUAAGCAGCAGUAUCCAACUAACCCUAAAAAUUUCCUGAGUUCUUGUUUAAGUUUGAGGCAAGGGUAGGGACACGAUUCCCUCAACUCAUUCAGGCCCUAUUCUUCACUUCUCUGCACUUAUCAACUGGUCUAAAUAUUUAAUUUCAGGUUCUACAUACUGAAGCUUUUUUCUUCGAGACUCAUAACUCCUCGAACUGCAGAUGGUUGAGAAUAUGUGUAGAGAAGCCAGCUACCUUCUCUAUAUCUUCACCAGAUAUAAGAAUAUCAUCAACAUAUUGGAGCAGGCAUAUUUGUUUGGGAUGAUAACUUUUUCUAAUACUUGUUCUAAAAUUUGACUGAAAAGGUUAGGGGAGUCUGUGAACCCUUGGGGUAAGACUAUCCAUCGAUAGUGUUGUUUCUACCCUGAAUGGGGAUCCUCCCACUCAAAAGUAAAUAUAUCUUGCCUAUCUUCUGCCAGGAGACAUGCCCAAAAAGCAUCCUUCAAAUCUAUUACAGUAAACCAUUGAUUAUUAUAUGGAAUCUUGCUGAGAAUUGUGUAAGGAUCGAGGACAAUGGGGUGGGUAGAUUGGACUAUUUGGUUAAUAGCCCUAAAGUCCUGUACCAGCCGGUAUGACCCAUCUGAUUUCUUGACUGGCAAUGUUGAGGUGUUUUAAGGGGACAUAGAGGGCUCAAGAAGCCCAUUUUUAAUAAGACUUUCAAUUAUAGGUUUCAAACCUAUCCUGCCCUCUAGGGGAAUGAGGUAUUGUUUCCUCCUUACUACUUCCUUGGGGAUUUUUAGCUUGAUGUGGUUGGAGGGACUCAGAGGUUCCCUCAGUUUCCUUCUUUGGAUCAGACAUUAGGAUUAAUAUAUUUGUCAUCUGCAGUGGUGAGUAGCUUUAAUGAGGUGAGGAAACCUCUUGGGCCGAGUUGCAGGCUUAUGCCUAACUUCAACAUUAAAUCCCUCCCUAGUAAAUUAGUCCCUGCUUUAGGGAUUAGCAAAAACUGAAUAUGAGCUGAUUGAGCCUGGUAUCUGACUUCUGUGUUUUCUAAAAUUUUUGCUUUAAAUCCUUCUCCAUUUACCCCACAAACCAAAAGUUCCCCUGAAGAGUAGGCAAUAUUAGAUGGGGGGAAAACAAACAGAGGAUCGAGCCACUCCUGAAUUGACUAAAAAUGUUAUAAAAUCAUGCUUAGGUCCCACUUCUAGACUUAUCAAGGGCUCCUGGUGGGACUCAAGAUAAAAGAGACAGAACCCCUGACCCCAUUAUUCUUCCUCAAAAGCCAUGAGUGGAAGGGCCUCUUUUUCCUUUUCUAAUUUGGGACAUUCUCUCUUGAAGUGGCCUGUUCUUCCACAUUUUUAGUGCCUACCUUGCCCUUCCCCACUCUCAGUUCUGGGAUUCUUUGAUUUUACUCCCCUAUACUAUUUAGAUGGCCUGGUAGACGAGAGCCUUGAUCCUCCCAAUGGAGGCUUGGGUCCUUUAAAGGAGGGUUUGGAACCUUUAUAGUUUCUGGCCCACUGGAAGCUCUGUUUAGGGGUACAUGGAUUUGGAGCCAUCUGUUGGAAGGUGAAUAACAUAAGUUUUGUCUUUUGUUUUUGCUUUUCUUCGUCUCUCUUCACAGAUACUUUUUGAAUCUCUCUGAGAAGUUCACUUGAGGUCAGUUUUCCCAAUCUUCUAAUUUUUGUAACUUUUUUGAAAUAUCUGGACAACGUUGGCUAGGCGCAGUGGCUCAUGCCUGUAAUCACAGCAUUUUGAGAGGCUGAGGUGGAUGGAUCACGAGGUCAGGAGAUUGAGACCAUCCUGGUUAACACAGAGAAACCCCGUCUCUACUAAAAAUACAAAAAAAUUGCUGGGCGUAGUGGUGGGCGUCUGUAGUUCCAGCUACUGGGGAGGCUAAGGCAGGAGAAUGGAGCAAACCCUGGAGGCGGAGCUUGCAGUGAAUCAAGAUUGCACCAUUGCACUCCAGCCUGCGUGACAGACAGAGACUCCAUCUCAAAAAAAUAAAAAGAAAUAUCUGGACAAAUUUUUUUAUUUUUUUAUUUUUAUUUUUUUUUUAUUAUUAUACUUCAAGUUUAGGGUACAUGUGCACAAUCUGCAGGUUAGUUACAUAUGUAUACAUGUGCCAUGCUGGUGCGUUGCACCCACUAACUCGUCAUCUGGCAUUAAGCAUAUCUCCCAAUGCUAUCCCUCCCCCUCCCCCCACCCCACAACAGGCCUCAGAGUGUGAUGUUCCCUUUCCUGUGUCCAUAUUAUCUCAUUGUUCAAUUCCCACCUAUGAGUGAGAAUAUGUGGUGUUUGGAUUUUUGUUCUUGCGAUAGUUUACUAAGAAUGAUGAUUUCCAAUUUCAUCCAUGUCCCUACAAAGGACAUGAGCUCAUCAUUUUUUAUGGCUUCAUAGUAUUCCAUGGCGUAUAUGUGCCACAUUUUCUUAAUCCAGUCUAUCACUGUUGGACAUUUGGGUUGGCUCCAAGUCCUUGCUAUUGUGAAUAAUACCGCAAUAAACAUACGUGUGCAUGUGUCUUUAUAGCAGCAUGAUUUAUAGUCCUUUGGGUAUAUACCCAGUAAUGGGAUGGCUGGGUCAAAUGGUAUUUCUAGUUCUAGAUCCCUGAGGAAUUGCCACACUGACUCCCACAAUGGUUGAACUAGUUUACAGUCCCACCAACAGUGUAAAAGUGUUCCUAUUUCUCCACAUCCUCUCCAGCACCUGUUGUUUCCUGACUUUUUAAUGAUUGUCAUUCUAACUGGUGUGAGAUGGUAUCUCAUUGUGGUUUUGAUUUGCAUUUCUCUGAUGGCCAGUGAUGGUGAGCAUUUUUUCAUGUUUUUUUGGCUGCAUAAAUGUCUUCUUUUGAGAAGUAUCUGUUCAUGUCCUUCACCCACUUUUUGAUGGGGUUGUUUUUUUCUUGUAAAUUUGUUUGAGUUCAUUGUAGAUUCUGGAUAUUAGCCCUUUGUCAGAUGAGUAAGUUGCGAAAAUUUUCUCCCACUGUGUAGGUUGCCUGUUCACUCUGAUGGUAGUUUCUUUUGCUGUGCAGAAGCUCUUUAGUUUAAUUAGAUCCCAUUUGUCAAUUUUGUCUUUUGUUGCCAUUGCUUUGGGUGUUUUAGACAUGAAGUCCUUGCCCAUGCCUAUGUCCUGAAUGAUAAAGCCUAGGUUUUUUUCUAGGGUUUUUAUGGUUUUAGGUCUAAUGUUUAAGUCUUUAAUCCAUCUUGAAUUGAUUUUUGUGUAAGGUGUAAGGAAGGGAUCCAGUUUCAGCUUUCUACAUAUGGCUAGCCAGUUUUCCCAGCACCAUUUAUUAAAUAGGGAAUCCUUUUCCCUAUUGCUUGUUUUUCUCAGGUUUGUCAAAGAUCAGAUAGUUGUAGAUAUGCGGUGUUAUUUCUGAGGGCUCUGUUCUGUUCUAUUGAUCUACAUCUCUGUUUUAGUACCCGUACCAUGCUGUUUUGGUUACUGUAGCCUUGUAGUAUAGUUUGAAGUCAGGUAGUGUGAUGCCUCCAGCUUUGUUCUUUUGACUUAGGAUUCACUUCGUGAUGUGGGCUCUUUUUUGGUUCCAUAUGAACUUUAAAGUAGUUUUUUCCAAUUCUGUGAAGAAAGUCAUUGGUAGCUUGAUGGGGAUGGAAUUGAAUCUGUAAAUUACCUUGGGCAGUAUGGCCAUUUUCAUGAUAUGGAUUCUUCCUACCCAUGAGCAUGGAAUGUUCUUCCAUUUGUUUGUAUCCUCUUUUAUUUCCUUGAGUAGUGGUUUGCAGUUCUUGAAGAGGUCCUUCACAUCCCUUGUAAGGUGGAUUCCUAGGUAUUUUAUUCUCUUUGUAGCAAUUGUGAAUGGGAGUUCACUCAUGAUUUGGCUCUCUGUUUGUCUGUUAUUGGUGUAUAAGAAUGCUUGUGAUUUUUGUACAUUGAUUUUGUAUCCUGAGACUUUGCUGAAGUUGCUUAUCAGCUUAAGGAGAUUUUGGGCUGAGACAAUGGGGUUUUCUAGAUAUAAAAUCAUGUCAUCUUCAAACAGGGACAAUUUGACUUCCUCUUUUCCUAAUUGAAUACCCUUUAUUU
ensembl:lncRNA novel transcript